GAUUAAGUUAUUAAGGGCGCACGGUGGAUGCCUUGGCACUAGAAGCCGAUGAAGGACGUUACUAACGACGAUAUGCUUUGGGUAGCUGUAAGUAAGCGUUGAUCCAGAGAUUUCCGAAUGGGGGAACCCAGCAUGAGUUAUGUCAUGUUAUCGACAUGUGAAUUCAUAGCAUGUCAGAAGGCAGACCCGGAGAACUGAAACAUCUUAGUACCCGGAGGAAGAGAAAGAAAAAUCGAUUCCCUGAGUAGCGGCGAGCGAAACGGGAAGAGCCCAAACCAACAAGCUUGCUUGUUGGGGUUGUAGGACACUCUAUACGGAGUUACAAAAGAACAUGUUAGACGAAUCAUUCUCUCUUGAGUGGAUCCUGAGUACGACGGAGCACGUGAAAUUCCGUCGGAAUCUGGGAGGACCAUCUCCUAAGGCUAAAUACUCUCUAGUGACCGAUAGUGAACCAGUACCGUGAGGGAAAGGUGAAAAGUACCCCGGAAGGGGAGUGAAAGAGAACUUGAAACCGUGUGCUUACAAGUAGUCAGAGCCCGUUAAUGGGUGAUGGCGUGCCUUUUGUAGAAUGAACCGGCGAGUUACGAUCUGAUGCAAGGUUAAGCAGCAAAUGUGGAGCCGCAGCGAAAGCGAGUCUGAAUAGGGCGUUGAGUAUUUGGUCGUAGACCCGAAACCAGGUGAUCUACCCUUGGUCAGGUUGAAGUUCAGGUAACACUGAAUGGAGGACCGAACCGACUUACGUUGAAAAGUGAGCGGAUGAACUGAGGGUAGCGGAGAAAUUCCAAUCGAACUUGGAGAUAGCUGGUUCUCUCCGAAAUAGCUUUAGGGCUAGCCUCAAGUGAUGAUUAUUGGAGGUAGAGCACUGUUUGGACGAGGGGCCCCUCUCGGGUUACCGAAUUCAGACAAACUCCGAAUGCCAAUUAAUUUAACUUGGGAGUCAGAACAUGGGUGAUAAGGUCCGUGUUCGAAAGGGAAACAGCCCAGACCACCAGCUAAGGUCCCAAAAUAUAUGUUAAGUGGAAAAGGAUGUGGCGUUGCCCAGACAACUAGGAUGUUGGCUUAGAAGCAGCCAUCAUUUAAAGAGUGCGUAAUAGCUCACUAGUCGAGUGACACUGCGCCGAAAAUGUACCGGGGCUAAACAUAUUACCGAAGCUGUGGAUUGUCCUUUGGACAAUGGUAGGAGAGCGUUCUAAGGGCGUCGAAGCAUGAUCGCAAGGACAUGUGGAGCGCUUAGAAGUGAGAAUGCCGGUGUGAGUAGCGAAAGACGGGUGAGAAUCCCGUCCACCGAUUGAGAGGCCGACAGGCGUAGGCGAUGGAUAACAGGUUGAUAUUCCUGUACCACCUAGUAUCGUUUUAAUCGAUGGGGGGACGCAGUAGGAUAGGCGAAGCGUGCUGUUGGAGUGCACGUCCAAGCAGUAAGGCUGAGUGUUAGGCAAAUCCGGCACUCAUAAGGCUGAGCUGUGAUGGGGAGAGGAAAUUGUUUCCUCGAGUCGUUGAUUUCACACUGCCGAGAAAAGCCUCUAGAUAGAUAACAGGUGCCCGUACCGCAAACCGACACAGGUAGUCAAGAUGAGAAUUCUAAGGUGAGCGAGCGAACUCUCGUUAAGGAACUCGGCAAAAUGACCCCGUAACUUCGGGAGAAGGGGUGCUCUUUAGGGUUCACGCCCAGAAGAGCCGCAGUGAAUAGGCCCAAGCGACUGUUUAUCAAAAACACAGGUCUCUGCUAAACCGUAAGGUGAUGUAUAGGGGCUGACGCCUGCCCGGUGCUGGAAGGUUAAGAGGAGUGGUUAGCUUCUGCGAAGCUACGAAUCGAAGCCCCAGUAAACGGCGGCCGUAACUAUAACGGUCCUAAGGUAGCGAAAUUCCUUGUCGGGUAAGUUCCGACCCGCACGAAAGGCGUAACGAUUUGGGCACUGUCUCAACGAGAGACUCGGUGAAAUCAUAGUACCUGUGAAGAUGCAGGUUACCCGCGACAGGACGGAAAGACCCCGUGGAGCUUUACUGUAGCCUGAUAUUGAAAUUCGGCACAGCUUGUACAGGAUAGGUAGGAGCCUUUGAAACGUGAGCGCUAGCUUACGUGGAGGCGUUGGUGGGAUACUACCCUAGCUGUGUUGGCUUUCUAACCCGCACCACUUAUCGUGGUGGGAGACAGUGUCAGGCGGGCAGUUUGACUGGGGCGGUCGCCUCCUAAAAGGUAACGGAGGCGCUCAAAGGUUCCCUCAGAAUGGUUGGAAAUCAUUCAUAGAGUGUAAAGGCAUAAGGGAGCUUGACUGCGAGACCUACAAGUCGAGCAGGGUCGAAAGACGGACUUAGUGAUCCGGUGGUUCCGCAUGGAAGGGCCAUCGCUCAACGGAUAAAAGCUACCCCGGGGAUAACAGGCUUAUCUCCCCCAAGAGUUCACAUCGACGGGGAGGUUUGGCACCUCGAUGUCGGCUCAUCGCAUCCUGGGGCUGUAGUCGGUCCCAAGGGUUGGGCUGUUCGCCCAUUAAAGCGGUACGCGAGCUGGGUUCAGAACGUCGUGAGACAGUUCGGUCCCUAUCCGUCGUGGGCGUAGGAAAUUUGAGAGGAGCUGUCCUUAGUACGAGAGGACCGGGAUGGACAUACCUCUGGUGUACCAGUUGUCGUGCCAACGGCAUAGCUGGGUAGCUAUGU
rnacentral:rRNA from 1 species